rnacentral:rRNA from 1 species
GGCGAACGGGUGAGUAAUAUAUCGGAACGUACCCAAGAGUGGGGGAUAACGUAGCGAAAGUUACGCUAAUACCGCAUACGAUCUAAGGAUGAAAGCAGGGGACCGCAAGGCCUUGUGCUCCUGGAGCGGCCGAUAUCUGAUUAGCUAGUUGGUGAGGUAAAGGCUCACCAAGGCGACGAUCAGUAGCUGGUCUGAGAGGACGACCAGCCACACUGGAACUGAGACACGGUCCAGACUCCUACGGGAGGCAGCAGUGGGGAAUUUUGGACAAUGGGCGCAAGCCUGAUCCAGCAAUGCCGCGUGAGUGAAGAAGGCCUUCGGGUUGUAAAGCUCUUUUGUCAGGGAAGAAACGGUGGGGGCUAAUAUCUUCCACUAAUGACGGUACCUGAAGAAUAAGCACCGGCUAACUACGUGCCAGCCGCCGCGG